rnacentral:rRNA from 1 species
GAGGAAGUAAAAGUCGUAACAAGGUUUCCGUAGGUGAACCUGCGGAAGGAUCAUUAUCGAGUAUUUUGAAAGAGGUUGUAGCUGGCCUUUCGGGGCAUUGUGCACGCCUUGCUCAAUUCCAACUCUUAACACCUGUGCACUCAUUGUAGGUUGACUUUCGAGAGAGUAUUCUUUACAGGAUAUUCUUAAGUGGUCUUCCUAUGUUUAUAACAAACUCCUUAUUGUAUUUGAAUGUCACUUUGCGCUAUUAAUAACGCAUGAAAUAUAACUUUCAGCAACGGAUCUCUUGGCUCUCGCAUCGAUGAAGAACGCAGCGAAAUGCGAUAAGUAAUGUGAAUUGCAGAAUUCAGUGAAUCAUCGAAUCUUUGAACGCAUCUUGCGCCCUUUGGUAUUCCGAAGGGCAUGCCCGUUUGAGUGUCAUUGUAUUCUCAAAUCCCUUCAUUUUUGUGAAGUGGGUAUUGGAUUUGGAGGUCUUUGCGGGUUUCAUUGUAAAUCUGCUCCUCUUGAAUACAUUAGCUGGGAACCUUUUGUUAGGCURGCUUCAGUGUGAUAAUUGUCUGCGCUGUAGUCGUCUAGCACUCGUAUAAAGGAUUUCGCUUCUUAAUCGUCUUUUCUUAAGACAAAUCUUGACAUCUGACCUCAAAUCGGGUAGGACUACCCGCUGAACUUAAGCAUAUC